CUCGCUUACACUUUCUUCUUAGCGCCUUUCUUGCCGCCCUUGGUGAGGCGCUUGUUCUUGCCGACCGCCAUGGUGCCGCCCUGGAGCCAAAGAGGCCGAAGCCCGCCAGCAACGCGAGAUUAUACGAGAGAGGUCCCCAAGAGAACUUUGGAUUCAAUACUGGCAAGUAACAUGCCCCAAAACACAGCAGUCUCACAAAAGUGAUUCUGAUGACAAGCUACUGUGGCCGAAGACGAGGUAUCUCCUGACAUGCCUUGGAGUUUGCAAGGAAUUACGGGUGACAUCUAAAGCUUAAGCUAAAGAAAAGUUGAGCUAAAUCGGCUUGUUUUGUUCAAUAUCAACAUAAUUUCUUGACAGACUGAAGAUUCAAAUUCUAGUAUCACCAAUGACAGGCUCUCACUGUAAAUUCAUUUAUUAAUUCACAGAUGUUUAAAAAUAUAUCUGUAAGCCACUAAUCAUGAACACCAAAUAUGUGAUGCGGGAACAUGAAAGAAAAAUACUCAGAUUUCAGUUAAAAACAAAAGUAAAUAAAAUGCUUUAAGUUGAUCAAAAAUACCUUAAAUGCUCAUUUAAAUGAAAUAGCAUUAUAAAAUAUGAACCAAAAUCAAGUGAUUACUAUUUAACACAUGCUGCAGAAAUCUCCUCACCAAAUCAAGAGUCUCCUUCUGACAAAGACAAAUCUCUAUUUCAAAAUUAAGUUGUUCUCUUGGAGUAUUAUCUUCUUAGUAAAAACAGAGAGGCACGCUCAUAUCAGAGUUUAACAGUUUUUAUCAGAUGCUUUUUUAUCUGGAUUUUAAUUUCUAGCAAAGUGCUUCCACAGCAGUUCCUCAUACUGGAGAUCUCAAAAUAUUUUGUGACAACUUUUUUGUUGUUGUGAUAAAUCUUUUUUCUUUUCCUAAAGGGCUAAUAUUCUAUAGUUAUUCAUGGAGGUCUAAAUCUUUCCCUAUCUCUCUGCAGGUACAGUGACCUCAAAAAACACAGUCACUGUAACACAGAAGCCCCUUGGUGCCAGCUGGCAAAGGAUUCACUGUUCUUUACAAGCAACACCUGUCUCAGACCUGACAAACUCACUACACCUAAUACACAGCUUUCAUGGUAUUUAUCCAUAAAGGCAUGUGAGGUCUCUACUGAAAGCUUGUAACUUAUCAAUACUCCUAAUCAUUGGAAGGUGUGUGUGUGUGUAGAUAGUAUUUAAGGAAUGAUAUAACUAUAUUUAAAAUUAUGCUCUUAUGGUCUUGGAAUAAAAGUUAGUCACCAGGAAAUCACGUCUCAGUGAUAGCCCAUUCAAGAGGGAAGGAGUUGUCACCCACCCUAGCUAGCCGAUUAUAUAAUGUAUUGCUUAAUUGUCCACCAUUUCAACAAUCCAGAAAAGUCAAUGGAAAAUCAUCAAAGACAAAACUAUGAACAUUUAAACCACCUGAAAGUGAAAAGGAAUGAUAUGACAGUGAAGGGAUCACCCUAUCUGAAAUAAAGGAAUGCAAGGAUAAAUCUAUGGCCAGCAGAGUUAAGGACAAGAAGAAGGAGUUUUUAAAAUAUAUUAGGAAAAAAAGAAUCCUGACAAUGGUAUUGGUCCAUUACUAGGUUUGAAAUGGUAGAAUUAUCAAUAAUAAUGCAGAAAAGGCCGAAGUGUACAAUAAAUAUUUCUGUUCUGUAUCUGGGGGAAAACAGAUGAUCUAGUCUCAUCAUAGGGUGAUGAUAAAACUCUUCCCGUUCCUCUAGUAUACCUGGAAGAUGUUAAACAGAAGCUACUAAAGUUGGACAUUUUAAAAUCAGCAGGUCCAGAUAACUUGCAUCCGAGAGUUUUAAAACAGCUGGCUGAGGAGCUAGCUGGAUGAUUAACACUGAUUUUGAAUAAGUCUUGGGGUACUGGGGAAGUUCUAGAAGACUGGAAGAAAGCUAAGGUUGGGUCAAUUUUUAAAAUGAGUAAACAGAAUGACUUGGGUAAUUAUAGGCCUGUCAGCCUGAUAUCAGUCCCAGGCAUGAUAAUGGAGAGGUUGAUAAAGGACUUGAUUAAUAAAGAAUUAAAGGAGGGUAAUAUAAUUAAUGCAAAUCAGCCUGGGUUUAUGGAAAAUAGAUCCUGUCAAACUAACUUGAUAUCUACUUUUGAUGAGAUUACGAGUUUGGUUGACAAAGGUAAUAGUGCUGAUAUAAUAUACUUACACUUGUGUAAGGUGUUUUACUUGGUAGUGCAUGGCAUUUUGAUUAAAAAAUUAGAAUGAUAUAAAAUUAACAUGUCACACAUUAAAGGGAUUAAAAACUGGAGAACUGAUAAGACUCAAAAUGUAACUGUAA